GAUGAACGCUAGCUACAGGCUUAACACAUGCAAGUCGAGGGGAAACGACAUCGAAAGCUUGCUUUUGAUGGGCGUCGACCGGCGCACGGGUGAGUAACGCGUAUCCAACCUGCCCAUCACUUGGGGAUAACCUUGCGAAAGUAAGACUAAUACCCGAUGAUAUCCCUAGACGACAUCUGAAAGGGAUUAAAGAUUUAUCGGUGAUGGAUGGGGAUGCGUCUGAUUAGCUUGUUGGCGGGGUAACGGCCCACCAAGGCGACGAUCAGUAGGGGUUCUGAGAGGAAGGUCCCCCACAUUGGAACUGAGACACGGUCCAAACUCCUACGGGAGGCAGCAGUGAGGAAUAUUGGUCAAUGGACGAGAGUCUGAACCAGCCAAGUAGCGUGCAGGAUGACGGCCCUAUGGGUUGUAAACUGCUUUUAUAAGGGAAUAAAGUUAGUCUCGUGAGACUUUUUGCAUGUACCUUAUGAAUAAGGACCGGCUAAUUCCGUG
rnacentral:rRNA from 1 species